rnacentral:rRNA from 1 species
UACGGGAGGCAGCAGUGGGGAAUAUUGCACAAUGGGCGAAAGCCUGAUGCAGCUAUGCCGCGUGUAUGAAGAAGGCCUUAGGGUUGUAAAGUACUUUCAUCGGGGAGGAAAAAACAAAACUAAUAAUUUUAUUUCUUGACGUUACCCGAAAAAGAAGCACCGGCUAACUCCGUGCCAGCAGCCGCGGUAAUACGGAGGGUGCUAGCGUUAAUCAGAAUUACUGGGCGUAAAGAGCACGUAGGUGGUUUUUUUAAAGUCAGAUGUGAAAUCCCUGGGCUUAACCUGGAACUGCAUUUUGAAACUGAAAUACUAGAGUAUCGUAGAGGGAGGUAGAAUUCUAGGUGUAGCGGUGAAAUGCGUAGAUAUCUGGAGGAAUACCUGUGGCGAAAGCGGCCUCCUAAACGAAUACUGACACUGAGGUGCGAAAGCGU